rnacentral:rRNA from 1 species
AUUGAACGCUGGCGGCAGGCCUAACACAUGCAAGUCGAGCGGAUGAAGAGAGCUUGCUCUCUGAUUCAGCGGCGGACGGGUGAGUAAUGCCUAGGAAUCUGCCUGGUAGUGGGGGACAACGUUUCGAAAGGAACGCUAAUACCGCAUACGUCCUACGGGAGAAAGCAGGGGACCUUCGGGCCUUGCGCUAUCAGAUGAGCCUAGGUCGGAUUAGCUAGUAGGUGAGGGAAAGGCUCACCUAGGCGACGAUCCGUAACUGGUCUGAGAGGAUGAUCAGUGACACUGGAACUGAGACACGGUCCAGACUCCUACGGGAGGCAGCAGUGGGGAAUAUUGGACAAUGGGCGAAAGCCUGAUCCAGCCAUACCGCGUGUGUGAAGAAGGUCUUCGGAUUGUAAGGCACUUUAAGUUGGGAGGAAGGGCAGUAAGUUAAUACCUUGCUGUUUUGACGUUACCAACAGAAUAAGCACCGGCUAACUUCGUGCCAGCCGCCGCCGUAAUAC